UGACUGUUGAUGCUGGUGGUUAUGGAGAUAUGGUGGCGGCUGCGGGCUGAUGGUAGGGUAUGUAGCGCUGAGCUGUCUUGCCGGCUGCCUGUUGGAGCGUGGUGCCACAAGCCAGGCUGCCUUUUUGCAAGCACAGUCACACAACCAUUUGCUGGAGAUUAUUUUGACAAAGGCAGAUGGUAAUGAACUAUGAUCAUAGAACUCCAGAAUGCCACACAAAAUUGGAUUUGUUACAAUAAGCUGCUCUGGCCAUGAAGAUGGGUAUAAUUCCAACGAGCUAAUGGUGCAUGCGCCUACAGUAAACGGUUGGCGUUCCCCAAGGUUCUGCCUUUACCCACAGGAGAUUGUCCUGCAAAUGGUGGAGCGCUGUCGAAUUCGUAAGCUGCAGUUACUUGCACACCAGUACUUGAUUUCUACGAAAAUUGAAUUUUACAUUAGUGACAGUCUUCCAGAUCACCUAGGACCCCACCAUGUGGAGAGAUUCCGCAGACUUG